AUUGAACGCUGGCGGCAUGCUUUACACAUGCAAGUCGAACGGUAACAGCACUUUGGCUGCUGACGAGUGGGGAACGGGGGAGUAAUACAUCUGAAAGUGCCCCGGAGUGGGGGGUAACUACUCCGAAAAGUAGCUAAUAUCCCACAAGAUCUAAGGGUGAAAAAGGGGGACAUUCGGGGCCUUCGCGACUACAGCGGCUGAUGGCAGAUUAGGUAGUUGGUGGGAUAAAAGCUUACCAAGCCGACGAUCUGUAGCUGGUCUGAGAGGACGACCAGCCACACUGGGACUGAGACACGGCCCAGACUCCUACGGGAGGCAGCAGUGGGGAAUUUUGGACAAUGGGCGCAAGCCUGAUCCAGCAAUGCCGCGUGCAGGAUGAAGGCCUUCGGGUUGUAAACUGCUUUUGUACGGAACGAAAAGCCCUCUUCUAAUACAGGAGGGUCAUGACGGUACCGUAAGAAUAAGCACCGGCUAACUACGUG
rnacentral:rRNA from 1 species